AUUGAACGCUGGCGGCAUGCCUUACACAUGCAAGUCGAACGGUAACAGGUUAAGCUGACGAGUGGCGAACGGGUGAGUAAUAUAUCGGAACGUGCCCAGUCGUGGGGGAUAACGUAGCGAAAGCUACGCUAAUACCGCAUACGAUCUACGGAUGAAAGCGGGGGAUCGCAAGACCUCGCGCGAUUGGAGCGGCCGAUAUCAGAUUAGGUUGUUGGUGAGGUAAAAGCUCACCAAGCCUGCGAUCCGUAGCUGGUCUGAGAGGACGACCAGCCAAACUGGAACUGAGACACGGUCCAGACUCCUACGGGAGGCAGCAGUGGGGAAUUUUGGACAAUGGACGCAAGUCUGAUCCAGCAAUGCCGCGUGCAGGACGAAGGCCUUCGGGUUGUAAACUGCUUUUGUACGGAACGAAACGGUGAGCUCUAAUACAGUUUGCUAAUGACGGUACCGUAAGAAUAAGCACCGACUAACUACGUGCCAGCCGCCGCAGUAA
rnacentral:rRNA from 1 species